rnacentral:rRNA from 1 species
AUCUCGUAAGACUAAAUACUCCUAAAUAACCGAUAGAGAAUAGUACCGUGAGGGAAAGGUGAAAAGAACCCUGAGUUGGGAGUGAAAUAGACCAUGAAAUCAAAAGCUUACAAGCAGUAGGAGGUAUAUAAAAUACUGACUGCGUGCCUGUUGAAGAAUGUGCCUGCGAAUUAUAAAAGAUGGCUUGGUUAAUACGCUACGCGUUGAAGCCUAAGUGAAAGCGAGCUUGAAGAGAGCGAAUGUCAGCUUUUAUAGACCCGAACCCAGGUGAUCUAACCAAGGCCAGAAUGAAGCUUCAGUAAAAUGAAGUAGAGGUUCGAACUCACUGAUGUUGAAAAAUCAGGAGAUGAGCUUUGGUUAGCGGAGAAAUUCCAAUCGAACUUGGAGCUAGCUGGUUCUCCCCGAAAUGUGUUUUGGUACAGCCUUUCAUUAAGAACUAAUCAGGGGUAAAGCACUGUGUUGGUGCGGGCUGUGAAAACGGUACCAAAUCAAUGCAAACUCUGAAUACUGAUUAUGAAUACAAUGAUCGAGUGAGACUAUGGGGGAUAAGCUUCAUAGUCGAAAGGGAAACAGCCCAGACCAUCAGUUAAGGCCCCUAAAUAAUAACUAAGUGGAAAAAGAGGUGAAAAUGCUUAAACAACCAGGAGGUUUGCUUAGAAGCAGCCAUCCUUUAAAGAGUGCGUAAUAGCUCACUGGUCUAGCGUUUUUGCACUGAAAAUAAUCGGGACUAAGUUAUUUGCCGAAGCUAUGGGCUUUGUAAAAAGCGGUAGGGGAGCGUUCUGUCGUAAAGAGAAGUAAAACCGAAAGGUGAUAUGGAUGAAACAGAAGUGAGAAUGUAGGCUUGAGUAACGAAAACAUUGGUGAGAAUCCAAUGCCCCGAAAACCCAAGGGUUCCCUCCGCAAGGUUCGUCCGCGAGGGGUGAGUCAAGACCUAAGGCGAGGCUGAAAAGCGUAGUCGAUGACAAACAGGCGAACAUUCCUGUACUACAAUAUGUUUGUAAAAAGUGACAAAGGUGGCUAUCUACACUCUUUUAUGGCUAAAGGAGUGAAAAUGAUCAAGACUAGAAAAAGUAGCGAAAAUACUUUUUGUUAAGACAUGAAAAACAAGAGACGUCAGACUUUCAAGAAAAUCUUUUAAUACGAAAAACAUAUCGUACUUGUACCGUAAACCGACACAGGUGGGUAAGUAGAGUAUACUAAGGGGCGCGAGAUAACUCUCUCUAAGGAACUCGGCAAAAUGGCCCCGUACCUUCGGAAGAUGGGGUACCUUUUUUAAAGGUUGCAAUAACCAGGCCCAGGCGACUGUUUACCAAAAACACAGGUCUCCGCAAAGUCGUAAGACAACGUAUGGGGGCUGACGCCUGCCCAGUGCCGGAAGGUUAAAGAAUCUUGUUAGAUUAUUCGAAGCUCGAAACUGAAGCCCCGGUGAACGGCGGCCGUAACUAUAACGGUCCUAAGGUAGCGAAAUUCCUUGUCGGGUAAGUUCCGACCCGCACGAAAGGCGUAACGAUCUGGGCGCUGUCUCGGAGAGAGACUCGGUGAAAUAGAACUGUCUGUGAAGAUGCGGACUACCUCCAUCAGGACAGAAAGACCCUAUGAAGCUUUACUGUAAUUUGAAAUUGUAGUUGGGCUUUUCUUGCGCAGCUUAGGUGGAAGGCGUUGAUCUUUAUUUUCCGGAAUAAAGGGAGCCGUCAGUGAGAUACCACCCUUGAAAAGUUGAACUACUAAUCUUUUGCCGUUAGCCGGCUAAGAAACAGUUUUUGAUGGACAGUUUGACUGGGGCGGUCGCCUCCCAAAAGGUAACGGAGGCGUGCAAAGGUUCUCUCAGACUAGAUGGAAAUUAGUCGUUGAGUGUAAAGGCAAAAGAGAGCUUGACUGAGAGACCUACAAGUCGAUCAGGGACGAAAGUCGGCCUUAGUGAUCCGGCGGUUUUUUAUGGAUAAGCCGCCGCUCAACGGAUAAAAGCUACUCUAGGGAUAACAGGCUGAUCUCCCCCAAGAGUUCACAUCGACGGGGAGGUUUGGCACCUCGAUGUCGGCUCAUCGCAUCCUGGGGCGGUAGUACGUCCCAAGGGUUGGGCUGUUCGCCCAUUAAAGCGGUACGUGAGCUGGGUUCAAAACGUUGUGAAACAGUUUGGUCCAUAUCCGAUGGAGGCGUAAGAGUAUUGAAAGGAUCUUUUCCUAGUACGAGAGGACCGGAAAGGACAUGCCUCUGGUGUACCAGUUAUUUUGCCAAAAGUAAACGCUGGGUAGCUAAGCAUGGAGUGGAUAACUGCUGAAAGCAUCUAA